rnacentral:rRNA from 1 species
CGCGGCCUAUCAGCUUGUUGGUGAGGUAACGGCUCACCAAGGCAACGAUGGGUAGCUGGUCUGAGAGGAUGGUCAGCCACAUUGGGACUGAGACACUGCCCAAACUCCUACGGGAGGCUGCAGUCGAGAAUAUUUCGCAAUGGGGGAAACCCUGACGAUGCGACGCCGCGUGGGGGAUGAAGGCCUUCGGGUCGUAAACCUCUGUGUUACGGGAUGAAUUGAGCGUUGCUGAUAACGCAGCGUUUUUGACGUUACCGUAGUAGAAAGUCCCAGCUAACUACGUGCCAGCAGCUGCGGUAAUACGUAGGGGGCAAGCGUUGUCCGGAAUCACUGGGCGUAAAGCGCGCGCAGGCGGUGGAGUAAGUCAGACGUGAAAGGGUUCGGCUCAACCGAGCCAUUGCGUUUGAUACUGCUUCACUUGAGUCUAGAAGAGGAAAGUGGAAUGUAUGGUGUAGCGGUGGAAUGCUUAGAUAUCAUAUAGAACACCCGUGGCGAAGGCGGCUUUCUGGUCUAAGACUGACGCUCAUGCGCGAAAGUUUGGGGAGCAACCGGGAUUAGAUACCCCGCUAGUCCUUACUGUAAACGAUGGGUAUUAAGUGUAGGGGGUGUUGAUUCCCUCUGUGCUGUAGCUAACGCAUUAAGUACCCCGCCUGGGGAGUACGG